CAGUAAAGGAGCAGAAGACCUUUAAAUAUAAGACGUUUAGAGAGAGAAAAUCAUCUGGGAGUCAUGUCGCCACUGAAACGGGCUAAAAAAUAUCCCUCAAUAGCAGCAUGUAGAGGUUCGGGCUACCAGUCGAUAGCGGCUGACCUCGAUGGCACUCUUCUCUUGUCCGGCAAUUCCUUCUCCUACUUCAUGCUCGUGGCCAUCGAAGCUGGAAGUCUCUUACGUGGUCUGAUUUUGCUUCUGUCUGUACCUCUCGUGAUCAUAUCC
rnacentral:misc_RNA from 1 species